AAAGCCGCGUCGGCGUGCCGCGAAAGAGAUGGUAGUUCUCGCAGAAACGCCGCCAGAUCGCGCGGCCAUCCGUCU
rnacentral:sRNA from 1 species